AUGCGCGGAGCCUUCACCCUCAGCUGGCCUACAGCACACAACGUGGUGGAGGAGAAUGACAAUGAUAGGUCUGGGGUUCUGUUUCCUUCUGGCGGCUGUCUCAGGUGUCAGUUCCCAGAUCCAGCUGACCCAGUCUGGUGCAGAAAUCAAGAAGCCCGGAGAGUCCGUGAAACUGACAUGUCGAACCUCCGCAUUAGCUGGGUCCGGCAGGCUCCCGGGGAAGUCCUGGAGUGGCUGGGAUACAUCUGUCCUAGCGCUGGUAGCACUAGCUACGCCCCGGCCUUCCAGGGUCGAGUCACCCUCACCAGGGACAACUCCAUAAGCACGGCCUGGCUGCAGCUGGGCAGCCUGCGAGCCGAUGACACCGCCACGUAUUACUGUGCUCGGAGCACAGUGACACAAACCGCAGCUACAGCUGUUCAAAUACCCCAGUGA